UAGUCCACGCCCUAAACGAUGCUAACUCGAUGUUUGGCCCUUGAGGUUGAGCAUCCAAGCGAAAGCGUUAAGUGACCCACCUGGGGAGUACGUUCGCAAGAAUGAAACUCAAAGGAAUUGACGGGGGCCCGCACAAGCGGUGGAGCAUGUGGUUUAAUUCGAUGAUACGCGAGGAACCUUACCAGGGCUUAAAUGUAAGUUGCAUUAGCUAGAGAUAGCUAUUUCUUCGGACUACUUACAAGGUGCUGCAUGGUUGUCGUCAGCUCGUGCCGUGAGGUGUCAGGUUAAGUCCUAUAACGAGCGCAACCCCUGUUGUUAGUUGCCAGCGAGUAAUGUCGGGAACUCUAGCAAGACUGCCGGUGCAAACCGUGAGGAAGGUGGGGAUGACGUCAAAUCAUCACGGCCCUUACGUCCUGGGCUACACACGUGCUACAAUGGUAGGUACAAUGAGCAGCCACUGCGUGAGCAGGAGCGAAUCUAUAAAACCUAUCACAGUUC
rnacentral:rRNA from 1 species